rnacentral:rRNA from 1 species
CAAGCGGUGGAGUAUGUGGUUUAAUUCGAUGCAACGCGAAGAACUUACCUGGUCUUGACAUCCCGGAGACCCUUAGGAACUAGGGGUGCUUCCAUCUGGAAGAAUCUGGAGACAGGUGCUGCAUGGCUGUCGUCAGCUCGUGUCGUGAGAUGUUGGGGUUAAGUCCCGCAACGAGCGCAACCCUUGCCUUUAGUUGCCAGCAGUUCGGCUGGGCACUCUAAAGGGACUGCCGGUGUUAAACCGGAGGAAGGUGGGGAUGACGUCAAGUCCUCAUGGCCUUUAUGACCAGGGCUACACACGUACUACAAUGGCCGAUACAAAGGGCAGCGACACUGCGAGGUGAAGCCAAUCCCGUAAAAUCGGUCUCAGUCCGGAUUGGAGUCUGCAACUCGACUCCAUGAAGUUGGAAUCGCUAGUAAUCGUGGAUCAGCAUGCCACGGUGAAUACGUUCCCGGGCCUU